CCAAUAGCGUAUAUUAAAGUUGUUGCAGUUAAAAAGCUCGUAGUUGAAUUUCGGGAUUAGUACGUUGGUCGUGCCUUUGGUACGUACUGGUGUUACUGGUUCCUACCUUCUGAAGAACCGUCAUGUCAUUAAUUUGGUGUGGCGGGGAAUCAGGACUGUUACUUUGAAAAAAUUAGAGUGUUUAAAGCAGGCCCGCGCUUAAAUACAUUAGCAUGGAAUAAUGAAAUAGGACGUUUAAUCCUAUUUUGUUGGUUUCUAGGAUUGACGUAAUGAUUAAUAGGGAUAGUUGGGGGCAUUAGUAUUCAAUUGUCAGAGGUGAAAUUCUUGGAUUUAUUGAAGACUAACUACUGCGAAAGCAUUUGCCAAGGAUGUUUUCAUUAAUCAAGAACGAAAGUUAGGGGAUCGAAGACGAUCAGAUACCGUCGUAGUCUUAACCAUAAACUAUGCCGACUAGGGAUCGGAUGAUGUUAUUUUUAAUGACUCAUUCGGCGCCUUACG
rnacentral:rRNA from 1 species